CUACGGGAGGCAGCAGUGGGGAAUCUUAGACAAUGGGGGCAACCCUGAUCUAGCCAUGCCGCGUGAGUGAUGAAGGCCUUAGGGUCGUAAAGCUCUUUCGCCUGUGAUGAUAAUGACAGUAGCAGGUAAAGAAACCCCGGCUAACUCCGUGCCAGCAGCCGCGGUAAUACGGAGGGGGUUAGCGUUGUUCGGAAUUACUGGGCGUAAAGCGCGCGUAGGCGGAUUAGAAAGUUGGGGGUGAAAUCCCGGGGCUCAACCCCGGAACUGCCUCCAAAACUGCUAGUCUAGAGUUCGAGAGAGGUGAGUGGAAUUCCGAGUGUAGAGGUGAAAUUCGUAGAUAUUCGGAGGAACACCAGUGGCGAAGGCGGCUCACUGGCUCGAUACUGACGCUGAGGUGCGAAAGUGUGGGGAGCAAACAGGAUUAGAUACCCUGGUAGUCCACACCGUAAACGAUGAAUGCCAGUCGUCGGGUAGUAUACUAUUCGGUGACACACCUAACGGAUUAAGCAUUCCGCCUGGGGAGUACGGUCGCAAGAUUAAAACUCAAAU
rnacentral:rRNA from 1 species